GACGUAGGGGGCGAGCGUUGUCCGGAUUUAUUGGGCGUAAAGCGCGCGUAGGCGGCCGCGCAAGUCGGAUGUGAAAACCCGGGGCUCAACCCCGGGCCUGCAGUCGAUACGGGCAGACUAGAGUGCGGUAGGGGAGACUGGAAUUCCUGGUGUAGCGGUGAAAUGCGCAGAUAUCAGGAGGAACACCGGUGGCGAAGGCGGGUCUCUGGGCCGUAACUGACGCUGAGGAGCGAAAGCGUGGGGAGCGAACAGG
rnacentral:rRNA from 1 species